rnacentral:rRNA from 1 species
UACGUAGGGUGCAAGCGUUAUCCGGAAUUAUUGGGCGUAAAGAGCUCGUAGGCGGUCUGUCGCGUCGGAUGUGAAAAUCCAGGGCUCAACCCUGGACCUGCAUUCGAUACGGGCAGACUAGAGUUCGGUAGGGGAGACUGGAAUUCCUGGUGUAGCGGUGAAAUGCGCAGAUAUCAGGAGGAACACCGGUGGCGAAGGCAGGUCUCUGGGCCACUACUGACGCUGAGAAGCGAAAGCAUGGGGAGCGAACAGG